rnacentral:rRNA from 1 species
AGAGUGAACGCUGGCGGCAGGCCUAACACAUGCAAGUCGAACGGCAGCACAGAGGAGCUUGCUCCUUGGGUGGCGAGUGGCGGACGGGUGAGGAAUACAUCGGAAUCUGCCUUAUCGUGGGGGAUAACGUAGGGAAACUUACGCUAAUACCGCAUACGACCUACGGGUGAAAGCGGAGGACCUUCGGGCUUCGCGCGAAUAAGAUGAGCCGAUGUCGGAUUAGCUAGUUGGUGGGGUAAACGCCCAACCAAGGCUACGAUCCGUAGCCUGGUCUGAGAGGAUGAUCAGCCACACUGGAACCUGAACGACGACGGUCCAAGUACCUCCGUAACGGGGGAGCCAAGG